rnacentral:rRNA from 1 species
AUGAUGACUCUCGGCAACGGAUAUCUCGGCUCUCGCAUCGAUGAAGAACGUAGCGAAAUGCGAUACCUGGUGUGAAUUGCAGAAUCCCGUGAACCAUCGAGUCUUUGAACGCAAGUUGCGCCCGAGGCCACCCGGUCGAGGGCACGCCUGCCUGGGCAUCACGC